rnacentral:rRNA from 1 species
UGGGGAAUAUUGCGCAAUGGGGGAAACCCUGACGCAGCAACGCCGCGUGCGGGAUGACGGCCUUCGGGUUGUAAACCGCUUUCAGCAGGGAAGAACAUCGACGGUACCUGCAGAAGAAGCCCCGGCUAACUACGUGCCAGCAGCCGCGGUAAUACGUAGGGGGCGAGCGUUAUCCGGAUUCAUUGGGCGUAAAGCGCGCGUAGGCGGGUGCCUAAGCGGGACCUCUAACCUCGGGGCUCAACCCCGAGCCGGGUCCCGAACUGGGCGCCUCGAGUGCGGUAGGGGAGAUCGGAAUUCCCGGUGUAGCGGUGGAAUGCGCAGAUAUCGGGAAGAACACCGAUGGCGAAGGCAGAUCUCUGGGCCGCCACUGACGCUGAGGCGCGAAAGCUAGGGGAGCGAACA